UCGCUCUGGAAAUGCUUAAUUACUGAGUCACCAGCGAGGUAACAUUUUGCAAUCUAAGAUUAUUGGAGUAUCAGUUGCACAUAUUUCUACACAGUCCCUGAUUUCAAUUAUAAAAAACUACUUUACUUCUGAUAGACCACAGCUCAUAACAAAUGCUCAGUGAAUUAUAAAAUUCAUUUCUUUUUAGAUUUUCUAAUAUUUCAUCAUCUCUAAACAAACAUGAAAGUUGGAAGUAGAUAAUUUUUAGUCCAUUGAACGUUAAAUUUAAUCAGAAGCUUCUUCGGAAUUUCAAUUUCAAAAUUUCCAAACACUUAUCAUUUCGGGAUAGAAUUAAGAAUAAUAAAUAGAAUGAGUGCAAGAAUUAAAUAAUUUUUAAUCAAUAGAAAAAAACUUCAUCAUCAAACACUUUCUCAGAUUUUCAGUCCUUUAGUCAGACACUUGUUAUCCAGAAAAUUGUACAAAAUCCAACACACGUGCGGCGUAAGCCAUGGGGAAACUAGAAUCAGUAAAGAGCGAACCUGGAAGCCGACGUACACCUCCAUGGCUAUCCUCGAAGCAAGUCAGAGAGCCGGUCAGAGGGAGAGGCCGCAUUCCAAUCCACGGAGAAAGCCUCUCGCGCAUUUAACCACGAGAUGACCGCCCAGAGGUCGCGUAAACGAGCUCCAUGGACCCGUUAGUUCGAUUCGUAUUCGUGUAUAUCUAACCUAAAAUUAUUCCAUUCCAUUGGCUUUUUUCAUUUAUUUUCUUCAAUAGAUCAUUGGUUGCCUAUCCAAAUUGCUUCUAUGCAAGUUGAAAUAUUCAUUUGAGGUACAUUUAGGACGAUUACUGUAAUACUUCUGUGCUACAUUGGACGAUUAUAAUUUAUGGUAAUAGUAUACAGAUAAGCAUUCAUCAUCAGGAUGCAAAAGGUGUCAUCAUAUAAGAUUGUGAAAAAGCAAGCUGAUUCUGACUGAUGAAAUAAAAGAAAAUGAACCGUGAAAUUAGAUAUAUGUAUUCUUAUAGGUUUAUUAUUAGUAUUGUAAUGUAGUUUUGUUGUUGUUAUAUUGUAGUUUAUUAUUGUAAUUUAGUUUAUGUUGUUAUGAUGUAGGGGAUUGUAUCGUGUUAUACAGGAGAAGUGUGGAGUUAAGUGUGAAUAGGCAGUGAAAAAUAUUUGACCGUUCAAGGCCACUAACCCCACUAUUCGUCGUAGUAGUCUUUCAUUGAAAGCUAUAUAAUGUGUCAAUCUCUCUCUGUUUAUGCCGUAUUCUUUUAUAUGGGUGCAUUCAUAAAGAUAUGAACUUGCAUAACUAUGCACAGUUCAUUAAUUAAGGAUGAAUAUCUAAUCACUUAUUUCUUUUAAUAUCAAAAACCUCUAAAAAUCAGAUAUCAAACAAUAAUCAAUGUUUCAGUGCUUCAAUGAUAUAACGAAGGAAGACCAAUCCCAAAACGACUGGUUCAACCAGAUCCCGUUGCUGCCACUUGCCGCAACGAAGACGCAUUUGAAUUCAAAUGGGGGAAAGUAGGAGGUUGAAAUGUUUGAGGACGUUCGGUACACCGUACACCUGCCACAAGGUGACUGCAUUCCACAGCGAGGCGGAACGUAAGUAGCCGGGAUCCGCGCUGGAAUGUAUGUCGGAUUUGCUGGAAUACUUCACGAGCCGCUAGCAAUACGCUGGCCAAUUAUAUGUAUCGCACGCGGCCGCGCCGCGUGCGCAUAUCGUUUGUUUUUGCCCAGGUCGGCCUACUUGCGUCGCGUAUGAUUAACUCGCGCAAUUCAGUCUCUGGUACGCUCUUGCUAUCCGUGAAAUUGACCAUUGCUGGUCAGGUGAAAUUUUCGAUGCAUCUUCGCGCAACGAACAGUACCGUCGUUUCUCUUCUUCGAUCUUUUGGUCUGUCUUGGUUUCUGUUCCUGGCACAGAAAUAGCUCAGACUGUCACCACCUCACCGCAAAAAGUCCGAUACGCGUGACGCUAUAUAACUUCGCAUAUCCAACGAUCACUCAUCUGGAUCUCGUAAGAAUUUUCUUACAAAAGCCCGUGUACUCAAUAAUAGGCGCAACACGAGUACCGGAGGCGCGAUUGAAUACUGAAUUCUUUGCAUUCGCGUUUCCCGUAGCCGGAUAAGAGGGUUCCUUCGUUUCGCGACACCGAUGUUUGCUCGUUGAUUCUCUCUAUUUGGAAUGUUAUUUGGACGUAUAUACAAAGUGUUCAGCAUCCAGAAUGGCUGAAGAUACGGUGGAUAGAGGCGGCUAGAGAAGAAUGCGUUCUCUUUCCACACCGAUCGGCGUGAUUCGCGCAUGAAUCAGAUUCCAUGUAACGGGAAAACGAGAUUUCAUUCAGUCCCGUGAUUUAAAUGAGACGAAACGCACAAGGAGCGGUCAAGAUUCGUUCUGGAUAACAGAAACUUUGCCGAGUUUUACCUGAAAUAAUGUAUCCAGUCCUCAAUAUAAUCUUCAUCUUUCUUACACUUAACAUUGUUACACUGUGCAGUAUUAUAUUGGAUUGUCAGACAAGUCUUGAAGCUUUUCUAGUAUGAAUUAUACUUCAUUUGAACACUUUGUAAUAAUAUAAUUAAAUCAAAUAUGCAUUACUUUAUUCAAUAAUAUUCUGUCACCUAUUGAAUAAUUCCAUUAUGCCAUUCAUACAGAAUUUUUCUUGUUUCUGAGCAAAAAUGUAACCUCUAAAAGGUUUAAGAUUUAUCUGGCAAUCCAAUAUUUAAUACUGCUACGUUUAACGCUGUUGAGGUUUCCGGGCAAGAGCCGGGUGAAAAGAUUCCCGUCGUCUCACCAACAUUCUAUAUACAUACAUAGUUAACUUCAAGGGGUCAGGAAACGCAUUGAACAGUGUUAAAGCAGUAUUAAGUAUAAUACUGCACAGUGUAACAAUGUAGUAGUAACAAAGUGUGACAAUUUAAACCGUACAAAGAAUAUUAAAGCAUUCA
rnacentral:lncRNA from 1 species